rnacentral:rRNA from 1 species
GACGAACGCUGGCGGCGUGCUUAACACAUGCAAGUCGAACGGAAAGGCCCUUUCGGGGGUACUCGAGUGGCGAACGGGUGAGUAACACGUGGGUGAUCUGCCCUGCACUUUGGGAUAAGCCUGGGAAACUGGGUCUAAUACCGGAUAGGACUACGCGAUGCAUGUCGUGUGGUGGAAAGCUUUUGCGGUGUGGGAUGGGCCCGCGGCCUAUCAGCUUGUUGGUGGGGUGAUGGCCUACCAAGGCGACGACGGGUAGCCGGCCUGAGAGGGUGACCGGCCACACUGGGACUGAGAUACGGCCCAGACUCCUACGGGAGGCAGCAGUGGGGAAUAUUGCACAAUGGGCGCAAGCCUGAUGCAGCGACGCCGCGUGAGGGAUGACGGCCUUCGGGUUGUAAACCUCUUUCAGUGCCGACGAAGCGCAAGUGACGGUAGGCAUAGAAGAAGGACCGGCCAACUACGUGCCAGCCGCCGCGGUAA